rnacentral:rRNA from 1 species
GUAGGGAAUAUUGGGCAAUGGUCGGAAGACUGACCCAGCCAUGCCGCGUGCAGGAAGACGGCCCUCUGGGUUGUAAACUGCUUUUAUCUGGGAAGAAAAAGGCCAUGCGUGGCAAAUUGCCGGUACCAGAUGAAUAAGCACCGGCUAACUCCGCGCCAGCAGCCGCGGUAAUACGGAGGGUGCGAGCGUUGUCCGGAUUUAUUGGGUUUAAAGGGUGCGUAGGCGGCUGAUUAAGUCAGUGGUGAAAGACUUCGGCUUAACCGGAGCAGUGCCGUUGAUACUGGUUGGCUUGAGUGUCGGAGGGGUACAUGGAAUUGAUGGUGUAGCGGUGAAAUGCAUAGAUACCAUCAGGAACACCGAUAGCGAAGGCAUUGUACUGGCCGACAACUGACGCUGAUGCACGAAAGUGUGGGGAUCGAACAGGAUUAGAUACCCCGGUAGUCC